rnacentral:lncRNA from 1 species
GGGGACUAUUUACAAAAAAAGCCCUAUAAUUUUUGAUUUAUUUGAUUUGAGCCAAUCAACGACGCUUUGAUUUUAAAAUAUGAAUGUGUUUAUUAUCUUUAUAGGUUUAAUUAUUAUUUUUUAUGUAAUUCUUAUCAAUAAUUUAAACUUUAAAAUUAAUUACUAUCUGAAAGUAUUGUUGGGUCAUCUGCCACUUGUUAAACUAGUGAUUCAAUCACAUAAUUGAAUGAUUCAGCGUAUCAUCAUAAAUACUUAGCAAUUAUUUCUU